GAUAAAGUUUUUCUAAAAGUAGCACCAAUGAAAGGUGUGCUGAGAUUCGGAAAGAAAGGGAAGUUGAGACCACGAUUCAUUGGACCUUUUGAAAUUCUCGAAAGGAUUGGUAGUGUGGCUUACCGACUUGCCUUACCACCUGAAUUGACAACAGUGCAUAACGUGUUUCAUAUUUCGAUGCUGAGAAAAUAUGUCCAUGAUCCUAAUCACGUGGUGAAUUACCAAACUUUAGAGGUACAAAAGGACCUGUCUUACGAAGAAACCCCAAUGACGAUUUUAGACAGAAAACUGCAUCAACUCAGGAAUAGAGAAGUUCCACUGGUCAAGGUGCUAUGGCGUAAUCAUGAACUGGAUGAGUCAACAUGGGAGAAGGAAGAUGAGCUUCAAG
rnacentral:lncRNA from 1 species